GACUCGGUGGCGGAUAGCCCGUGUCUGCCAAGUUUAAUACAGACACUCAUGGCCAGUUCAGCAGAAGUCGCCCGUUCGAUUCGGGCCCGAGUCA